AGAAAGGUGUCCUAGACACUGCAGAUGGGGGGCCCAGCUCCUCCCACUGCAGCCCCCAUGAGCACCAUGAUGACCAGUUUCUGCCUGAAUACCCCCAGUGUCAGAAGUAUCACCACCUAUGUCACAACUUCUCCAUGAAUCAGGGACAGCUCUGGGUUCUGUCUUCAGAGAAGAAAAAAAAAAAAAGAAGAA